AACGAACGCUGGCGGCAUGCCUAACACAUGCAAGUCGAACGAUGCCUUCGGGCAUAGUGGCGCACGGGUGCGUAAUGCGUGGGAAUCUGCCCUUGGCUUCGGAAUAACAGUUAGAAAUGACUGCUAAUACCGGAUGAUGUCCCCCUGAGAGAUCUUGGGGACCAAAGAUUUAUCGGCCAGGGAUGAGCCCGCGUAGGAUUAGGUAGUUGGUGGGGUAAAGGCCUACCAAGCCGACGAUCCUUAGCUGGUCUGAGAGGAUGAUCAGCCACACUGGGACUGAGACACGGCCCAGACUCCUACGGGAGGCAGCAGUGGGGAAUAUUGGACAAUGGGGGGAACCCUGAUCCAGCAAUGCCGCGUGAGUGAUGAAGGCCUUAGGGUUGUAAAGCUCUUUUACCAGGGAUGAUAAUGACAGUACCUGGAGAAUAAGCUCCGGCUAACUCCGUG
rnacentral:rRNA from 1 species